rnacentral:rRNA from 1 species
GUGGGGAAUAUUGGGCAAUGGGCGAAAGCCUGACCCAGCAACGCCGCGUGAAGGAAGAAGGUCUUCGGAUCGUAAACUUCUAUCCUUGGUGAAGAUAAUGACGGUAGCCGAGAAGGAAGCCCCGGCUAACUACGUGCCAGCAGCCGCGGUAAUACGUAGGGGGCAAGCGUUGUCCGGAAUGAUUGGGCGUAAAGGGCGCGUAGGCGGCCUGGUAAGUCUGGAGUGAAAGUCCUGCUUUUAAGGUGGGAAUUGCUUUGGAUACUGUCGGGCUUGAGUGCAGGAGAGGUAAGCGGAAUUCCCGGUGUAGCGGUGAAAUGCGUAGAGAUCGGGAGGAACACCAGUGGCGAAGGCGGCUUACUGGACUGUAACUGACGCUGAGGCGCGAAAGUGUGGGGAGCAAACAGGAUUAGAUACCCGUGUAGUCC